rnacentral:lncRNA from 1 species
CAUCCUAUGGAACUUCAGCACUCGGUUUAUGCAACAAUUAGGGUUUUUCCUUGGCCACGGCCGUAACAAUAAUCAAUUCUAAACCAAUCUCCCAGUUUCUUCAUCUCUCUUGCUUAAUUUGUGAGUUAAAUUUUCUAUUCAAUUUGUUCUCCUCUUUUUUAAAUCUGUGAGUUGAAUUUUCUGUCGACGAUUUCACUUAAAAUUGGGGCGAGCUGAAUAACACAGGUGCUCGUAUGACCCAAGUGAAUCGAUAAUCGUCGCAUAAAAAGCCCCCUUCGUUGAGUCGGUGGUUGAGGCAUCCUCUUAAUCUCGUGUUGAGAGGUUGAAUCCCAUUUUUUCCGAAGGGGGCGUUCUCAUAUCCUAUCGCCCUGUGUAGCAGAAUCUCUGCAAUUACGAUUUGGGAAUGGCCAUGAGAAAAACAUUUAGUCUUUUCAUAUAAUUCAAUUCGCAAUUAAGAUACUUUGUUUUAUUGGAAAACGAUCGGGAAAUCGAAAUAAUUGUGCUUAUAGACGGUCUAGUGCUGUUAAGUUUUUUAUACAGCAGCACUUAACAUGAUCAUAAGCUAUACAUAAUUGGAGCCGCGAUGUCUGUGAGGGCUUUUCUCAACUUCAAUGAGAAGGUUUUGAGCGUCGUGGUUCAUAUCUAUUUCUUGAUUAAUUAUUUUGUUAUUUGUUUUUCUAUUUAAUUGUGCUUCAAAAAGUAGAAACCUGUGAUUCAAGCUGAGUAAUGGGAUGCAUCUAGUGAGUAAGAUUCAUUCUAAUUUCAUUAACGAGCCGUUCAAUGCGAUUUGAGUUCUUGUUAUGUUUUAGCACGUUUCUUCUUUAUGCCGUUUUUUAUUUUGUUUUCAAUUAAGCUUUUUUAUUUUGUUAAAAAAUUAAAAAUUCAGUAGAUUUUGAUAAAAUUUUUGAUGUGUUAUUAUUGCUGAAAAUGAGUCUCAGAGAAAACAAGAGCAAAAUUAGUCUAGAAGAAUUUUCCAAAUGGAGCAUUUUCCUUUACCUAGAACUUUCCACAAGCAUAUCCCUCACUUUUGGGGAGGAUUGGAACUUGAUCCUUCGUUCCUAUUUUUGAGCUUAUCGGUUUUAAACGUGCGACUGAGAAGUUUUAUGGUGAAUAAAAAUAUUUAUAACUUCCAAUUAUAAUGCCACAUGGAAUAGGAUCUGUUUAUUGUCCCGCUUAGAAGUUAGAAAUCUAUUUUGAAUUAAGCUCAUGUUUGACGGUGAUUAUUUGGAUAAAAUGAAGUUUUGAGUUGUGAUUUUUUGGGAAGUGUAUUUGUAGCCCAUGUUUGAUCCUUAUUAAAUUACAUUUAUUCCAUUCUAUUUUUUUCUUUUAUUUUUAACCACACAAUUUUUUAUAAAAUAAUAUUACACGUAAAUCAAUUUUUUUUUUUUUCAAUCGCUCAUUUUUUUCAAUAAAAUACUAUUUUCCCUAUUUUCAUUACCAAAAAUGGGGGCCAAACAGGGGUUUAAAGAGGAGGAAAAAUUUUGGGUUGAAAGUAGAAUGUUUUAUUAUGGGGUUGAUUGAGCUCCAUUUUUUUCCAAAAAAAUAAACUUUUAAAUAAUUCUACGAUGAAAAAUGUGUGCUUAAAAAAUAAGAAAAAGUUGUAGAUAUGCAUGUAAUAUUAUUUUAUUAAAAAAUUUGUGGUUUAAAAGAUAUCAAAUUUUUGUUAAAAAAUGUAUUUUGAUGAGCAAGUCUCUGUUUGGCUCCUAUUUUAUAGAAAUGAAAAUAGAUGUGAUAGUGUCUUUUUUUAAAAUUGAAUGGUUGUAAAAGAAGAAAACGUUUUUAAUUUACGUGUAAUAUUAUUUUAUAGAAAAUUGUGUGGUUGAAAAUAGAAAAAAGAAAAGUGGAAUGAAUAUUAACGAGGGCCAAACAGGAGUAAAUGUGGCUCAAAUAAGGGUUAUAAGUGAAUAUAUGAUUGAAAAUGAGUACACAAAAAGAGAGUAUGAUCCUUAUAUUGUAAAGUGAUCGUUAAAGGUGAAUAUGGAUGUAAUAAAUUGUGGAAGACUUGUAUUUUGCUCUUGUUCUCUAUCAUCUCAUGUCCAUGGCAAGCCGUUUCGAAGUGUGCAUGAAAGAGCCACCUCGUAUUUGUGUUGCAAUAGCCAAACUUGAUUCGAAGUGAAUGGUCUCGACUUCGUUGAUUGAGAACUUUAGGGUCUGAUCUCUUUUUCAUUUUUCGCUCGUUUUUUGUUGUCGAUUUUGCAAAAUGAUGGAAACAUGUUUUCUUUCACGUUUUUGAAAAUAAAGUUUUGAAAAAAAAAAUUGCGCUAAAAACUGAAAACAUAAAAAAUGACGUUUUGAGUGUUUUAUGUAGAAAACAAGGGUUUGAUGGAAAACACGAGAAACAAUCCAAAUUCCAAACCAAUCCUACCUCUCUCUCUCGCUGUCGUCCCUUUCUUUCUCGUAACUGUUCUCGCCUCUUCAGCAGAAGGGUUUUCUGUGCACCUCCACUAGCUUCGGUGAACUCUUCAACUCCAAUGGUUUCUUAUUCUCCUCAGUUCGCCUCCUCAAAUCGGUCGGUAUAUUGCCUGAAGAGAGGUAAAUUUUUGUUAAAAUGUCAUCGAUUCCAUUCGCAUUUUUUCCAUUUUUCAGCUAAUUAUAUGUCUUCAUUGCUUAAUUUUCAGCUCCUGUUGCUAUAUAUUUCGUUGAAAUGUUUCGUUACUUUUGAAAAAUUGAUGUGGGUAGCGAUGAUUAUACUAAUUCCUCCUAUUGAUUGUUGUUGCGAGCAUUUUUGUUGACUUUUUGAUCAGUAGUCUAAACUUGACAAUAAAUUCUAGUAUCCAUUGCAUAAAGACAAAUUGAGUGAAUAAUGUUUAGAAACAAAAUCUAGGUCGAAUAUGAGGGGAUAGUUCAGCCUUAUUGAUCGAGAAAGUACUAAUUGCAUUUGAUCUCGAAUUUUGUAGAUUCAAGCCAUUUUUGUUGAUUAUAGAUGGUAGGUGUGAGUAAAGGAGAGAUGGAUUAUCCUUAGUAUCGCUCAGUUCAACUCAUACUACACUGAAGAGACAAGGUUCUGACCUUCUUUAAUGUUAGAAUAGGACUACGAUGCUAUUGUCACUGCUUUUCCUAAAGAGAGUCAAUUUUAGCCUAGUUCAGAAAGCCAAGAAAGAUACUAAACCCCAAUAUCAGACAGGCAAUCUGAACUAACUUUCUACAACCUAGAAGUCUACUAAUUGAAUGAUUUUAUCAUUUUAACUCUAGCUCUAUGAUCUUACUAUUUCUCUAUUUGUUUCACUUUAUAUAGUGGGCCUAUUAAUUUCAAAAAGGGGAGCAGUAAUUUUUUAUUUUGAUGUGUGGUGAUAAUGGAACGUGAACACUAAUUGCAGUAUGUAGGACGUUUCACUUGUGUUAAGUUUUACUUCUUUGUUGGCAGGUAUAUUACUUCACAUUGAUAUUUCUGUUGCUGCAUAUCCAUUUCAUUUUUGCCUAGCCUAUAUACUAUGUAAUAUAUGUUGUCGGCCUGCUUCUCUUCAAUUCUGUGAUGAAUUUUAUUUUCAAUAUGUAUGGUUGAUAAAAAAUUCGUGGAUUUCACGAAAAUUGCUUCUCAGCUUCUCAUCAAUAGCCGAAGUUCAAUGGAGUCCUUCAUGAGGGUGAAAAUUGUUUUGUGGAUUCCUAUCUGAAAUUUUUUCUUUCCUUCAAUUGAGAUUUCUGGUGGGAACUGGAAAUUUAAUAAAAGCGUCUUCAAUCGAGAUAUUCCCUAGUUGACCUUUACGAGCAAAACAAAAUCAUUUGAUAUUAUAUUACACCACUUGUCUUAUGAUUCCAUUAAUUAAAUUAUCUUAAUAUACCAACUUGAUUAGGUUAAGGUCUACCUUCAACCAACUUUCCCUAUAAUUAGAGAUGUUCAUAUGACUAAUUCUCAUCAAUCUUACCCUCUCUCUGUGUUUUGUCUGAAAUAUGCAAAAGAACUGCACUAUAAAUACAUAUUAUUCAAUGAGAAUUACUUCAGUCGGAGAUUUAUUGAUAUGUUGAAGUGCCUUGAUGAUGCAGCCUCCAACUGCAUCUUAUACGGAGAGACUGAACAUUACAAAAACUUUUAGAAAUCAUUCUCUCUAUCAUGCCAUACAUUAAGGAGCUUUUCACUCUUCAAAACCUGCUGGAAUUGUUUGGUAGAUCAGAACCACAUUAUAUAUUUCAGGCAAGCUUUAUCAACUUUCUUUUCGAUACUAUUGGAGAAUUGCUUAGUUGUGAAACAUAUUACAGUGUUCUUGUGAGUAAUCAAGUCAAAGUCCUUUGGAAGGGGGGCAACCAAAUAUCUAAAGUAAAAAUAGUAUUCAGCAAACACAGUGUUCUUGCUUACAAGUACUUAGAGCUUGUUUUGUUGGAGGAAGCAGAAAGUCCCCUAUGACAUCUAAUGCAGUUGUAAAGCGUAAGAAAUUAUAAGCACAAAUUCAAUCUCAUUCAUGCAAAUUAUCAAGAUGGGUCAAUCAAUUCAAUUGGGAGAAGCUCCACUGAUUUUAUAAACAACUAACACCCAAAAUGUUUAAAUUGAGAAAAAGGUAAGAAAAAUCUUAGUCUAGUAUGUAUAUAUAUAUAACAGCCGAAUUCAAAAUAUAUCACAAAUAAGCAUCAAUUGUAUCUAAAAGACAAUCAUUAUUUCUGAAUAUCAAUAGAAAAUCUUUUCAUCAACAAAUGGAAUAACUACUAAGUAUGUGAUUCAUCUUCAUCUCCAAGAAUCUAUUGUUAAUUCUAAUGAAAUCUUGCUACUGAUUGUCUCCUCUUUAUUUUCCAGAUUUGAGGAUUUCUUUGAUUGUUUUCAAUUUUCACAAGUCAAAUUAUUUUUCGCUGGUUCAUAACAAAUAAAAUAGCAACCAAAUAACUAAAGUAAAAAUAGUAACUUCAUUGCAAAGAAUCUUGAAUUUGUAAGUUAAAAUGAUAUUUGGCAACGUGUUGAUCCUUAUAAUUAUGGGUACAUGUGUUAGGUAUGCUUUUGAGCAUUUGGUGGUAUGUGACUAUAAUUAAAUACAUUAAUAUGUCCUCAAAUUGCCUACGAAAAUUUUUAUAUAUUUGAUGAUAAUUAGAUGUAUAUGAAUAUAGCGUCAACAUGGGUGGUCAUAGAGCUCGGAAUAAGGAACUAAUGUCAUGGUCGGACAAGAAUGAGCACGCUUUUAUUGAAGUUCUUUAUGAGAAAGUGAAAUCAAAUGUAUUGCAAUGUUCUACAUUCACAAUAGACAAAUGAGACAGGAUCAAUGAAACCAUGAUAGCUUCAACCAAAAUGGAUUACGGCAUAGAUAGAUAAAAAGGAAAGUGGAAUCCCUUGCAUAAGAUUCAUCGCAUGUUCUCUGAACUUUAGGGAUAAACGAGUGUUACAUGGGAUCCAAAUACCAACAAAGUUAAUGUUGCAGAGGAAGUUUGGCAACACUUUUAUACGGUACAUAUAUUUAUGAAAGAAUAUGUUCGUUCUUAUUUUUUAUCUUAUAAAUUUUAUAUUAUUUUCUUCAACACUCUAACAAUGUGGUUUCUUUUUUCAAUGUUAGAUUAACAAGUCGGAUUACAAGUUGUUCAAGAGGGAAGGAUGUAAGCACUACCACACUCUUAAGGAAAUAUUCUGCGGGACUACAGCUACUGGAGAAUUAGGCAGUGCCUCCACCCAGCGUCCAGACACAUCAAAGGAAGAAAGACAGCUAGAAGAUGAUUUGUUGAAUAGAGGAGUACAUGUGACUGCGGAAAAUGAUGAUGAAGUUGAUGUGGUUUCAAAUACUCGUCCACGUAACGAAAUUGGUACAUCGUGUGAACGAUGACGUAAAGAACCUAAAGUCAGUAAAAGUGAUAAACUCGAGGCCUGUAUGGCACAGUGGUCAUCUACAGUUAGUUGGAGGAAUGAAGAAACUGAAUUUAGAACACUUUACCUAAAAGAGAAGCUUGCAAAGAUCAAAAGAAAAUGUAGUUGUCAAUCAGAUAAAGAAGUUACUAGUCCAGAUCCUUAUUCAAAUGUUACUUGCUUGGACAUUUUAAACAAUAUGGAAGGGGUGUCCAAUGAGGUUUACAUGAAAGCAAUAGAGGCUUUCAAGGAUUCUGAUUUCAGGGUGUCAUUUGUGAAGAUGCUAGAAGUAAGGAGAGGACCUAUCUUGGAACUACUUUGAUGUGAUUGUUGUUUUAAUAUGUGAUUGUUGUUAUGUUGAAGUACCAUGUUAAACUCAAGACUUGAAGUACUUUUUUUUUUUUUUUUCAUUUUGUGGUGGUGUUGUACUGUUUUCAUUUACAAACAUUGUGAUGUUGUUGGUUGGAAAACUGAUGUUGAUUUUUUCUCACUUUUUUAAUGCUUGAUUGCUUGUUUUAUUGAAUUAAUGGUGGUUGAUAUGAUUUAUGAUAAUUAAUUUGGUUAUAUUUGUUUCACAGUAUGGCUAGCGAAUCAAAUGUGGAUGAUAAUGUGCAUGUCGAUGAGUUCAUUGAGGA